rnacentral:rRNA from 1 species
AUGUCCUGGGGUCAAGCAGCCCCUCAUGGUGGUUUAAUGCGGACCCUUUUUUGGAACAUCCGCGGUUUUGGUCAGGAUGGCCGACGCCGCCAGCUCAUUGAGUACAUGCGAGAUAAGCGGAUCGACAUUGUAGCAAUUCAAGAAACCAUGCGAACUGAGUUCACCUUGUCCGAGCUUGACCGCCUUAGUCCCCACCUGUUUGCCUGGCAUUGGCUCCCUUCUAGUGGGAUCGCCGGACACUCUGGUGGCAUCCUCUUAGGUGUCAAGGAUGCCACCUUUGAGGUGGGCAGC